UACGUAGGGGGCAAGCGUUGUCCGGAUUUAUUGGGCGUAAAGAGCGUGUAGGCGGCCAGACAGGUCCGUUGUGAAAACUCGAGGCUCAACCUCGAGACGCCGAUGGAAACCGUCUGGCUAGAGUCCGGAAGAGGAGAGUGGAAUUCCUGGUGUAGCGGUGAAAUGCGCAGAUAUCAGGAAGAACACCUGCGGUGUAGACGGCUUACUGGACCAUAACUGACGCUGAGGCACGAAAGCGUGGGUAGCAAACAGG
rnacentral:rRNA from 1 species